rnacentral:rRNA from 1 species
AUUGAACGCUGGCGGCAGGCUUAACACAUGCAAGUCGAACGGUAGCAGGAGAAAGCUUGCUUUCUUGCUGACGAGUGGCGGACGGGUGAGUAAUGCUUGGGAAUCUGGCUUAUGGAGGGGGAUAACGACGAGAAACUGUCGCUAAUACCGCGUAGUAUCGGAAGAUGAAAGUGCGGGACCGCAAGGCCGCAUGCCAUAAGAUGAGCCCAAGUGGGAUUAGGUAGUUGGUGGGGUAAAGGCCUACCAAGCCUGCGAUCUCUAGCUGGUCUGAGAGGAUGGCCAGCCACACUGGAACUGAGACACGGUCCAGACUCCUACGGGAGGCAGCAGUGGGGAAUAUUGCGCAAUGGGGGGAACCCUGACGCAGCCAUGCCGCGUGAAUGAAGAAGGCCUUCGGGUUGUAAAGUUCUUUCGGUAUUGAGGAAGGAGUGUAUGUUAAUAGCAUACAUUAUUGACGUUAAAUACAGAAGAAGCACCGGCUAACUCCGUG